rnacentral:lncRNA from 1 species
CAGCCAUGUUGUAGCAUUACUCCAAAAUCUGGGGGUCGGAACCCAUGGGUGGUGUGAGCUGAGCUGCAGGCACAGCAGCACUGAAGUAACAGAUGGGGUGGUGCGAGCAGUGCUGUUUUCUGUUGGAUUGUGCAGAGAACUGCAUCUGUGCCACUGGUCAUGCUUCUCACCUGAAUUAUUUAAGCACCUUCCUGUAAGGGCUGGCUAUGCAUGCUUCUUCCCUUUUCUCUGUACAUCUCUUCCUCCCUGUUUCCUUCUUCCCCUUCCACCUCAACGUGACCAGCUUAUUUACAACAUUUCUGCUGUAGUCCCGCCGAGAUUCAUUUUCACUUUUUCACUGAAAAAUCAAAAUCUUUGGAAUUAGAAUCUCCCCAUAUUGAAUUGUCAAUAACAGGUGAAAAUUGCGCUCUGUGUGACAAUGGGAGAAGGAUGCACCAAGCUGGUGGCAUGUGACAUGGGCGCUGGUGGACCCACGUUUGAAACACGUGAAACAACUAAACAACUGGGACAAGUACUGAAAAAAAAAUGAAAAAAGCAGAGGAGAGAGCCAUGGACUGCUCUGUGUGAGAAUCCUGGGCUGGGAGCUCCGGUUUCCCUCCUACUCCCAGCUGUGUCUGGUCCCUGGGCACCCACACAUGCAUCUCUCCCUGCUGUUUUCUUCGGCCCUGGGCAGCCCUGAGCAAGGACAAGCAGGCAAUGCAUGACCUGGGUUGUGCAGGGCUGAAUGGGAGCUCAUCAUGUGCUGUCGACCUUUGCCUGUCCUCAUGUCCCCAGUGUGGUGGCACCCACCAGACCCAACCACUGUGGCUACCCCGGGCUAUUUGGGGAGAGGUUGGGAUUCACCUUCAAAAAAAAGGACUGUUCCUGUUAUGGAGAGGGACCUGAGUGCCAAUGCAGCUCUAAGCACAGGAGGAAGUUACGUGUGUUUCAUGAGAUGGCUCACCUUUAAAAUUAAAGUACUUAAUAACUUUCAAAUGUCAGGUCUCAUUAUUGCAUGUCGGUCAGAACCUUGUCUAAAGUUCAUUUGAUUUUUGGCUAGUAAAAGCACACAUUACAGAUCAAAAUAAUAACCUAAUAACUAGUUAGGAUUUUUAAUGUGAACCUCUCCCCUCUGCUGUGUGAGUGCUAUGAGAAUUUGUCAGGAAAUCACACACUAGCAAUAAAAAUACAGACGAAUAUUAUCUCCA